ensembl:lncRNA
CAUCCACUUCCGGCGCACCGUGCCUUGAGCAGCUCUCUCCGCUGGCUGUGCUGUCUGUCUGCGAAUGGUCCCAGCUCCCUCCAAACGGGACCCUGGGCAGCCCUCGGCACCUUCAUGAGAUGCUGGCUCCCUGUCCGCACCUUUCCUCCGUCUUCCCAGAGGCCCCAGUGCUGCAGCCCAGCCUCCCGAGACGCCUGGUGGGAGAGUCCCGGGUCAGCCACUCACGCCGCAAGUCUCAGUGUGUAGUUCACGCUGGCCUUGAUCUCACUAUGUAGCCCAGGCUGGCCUGGAACCCACAGCAGUCCUCCUGCCUCAGCCUCCCAAGUGCUGGAAUUACAGGGGUGUGCUAUUGUGCCCCACA